AAUGAACGCUGGCGGCAGGCCUAACCCAUGCAAGUCGAGCGGAGCGGCGGACGGGUGAGUACUGCCUAGGGAUCUGCCCGGUAGUGGGGGAUAACGUACGGAAACGGGCGCUAAUACCGCCUACUAUCAGAAGUGCUUCGGGCGGAUUUGCUAGUUGGAGGGGUAAAGGCCUACCAAGGCGACGAUCCGUAACUGGUCUGAGAGGAUGAUCAGUCACACUGGAACUGAGACACGGUCCAGACUCCUACGGGAGGCAGCAGUGGGGAAUAUUGGACAAUGGGCGAAAGCCUGAUCCAGCCAUGCCGCGUGUGUGAAGAAGGUCUUCGGAUUGUAAAGCACUUUAAGUUGGGAGGCGUUACCAACAGAAUAAGCAACGGCUAACUUCGUGCCAGCCGCCGCGGUAAUAC
rnacentral:rRNA from 1 species